GCGCCCUAAGGCUGCCAGGCAAAGGGGCGACGCGCGUCCCCAUUAUUGCGCGCGCCGCCGCGCCCUUCCAGGUGCCCUCGCGUACCUGGCGGCGGUGUCCGUGCCUCGGAGACCGCCGGCCGGCUGGGGCGCGGGAGGUGCGCGCGCUCGCGCGGGGGUCGGGGCCUCCCGGCGGCUGCGCCCCCUCCGCCGCUCCCCGGGCGCCGAUCGCCGCCCUCCCGCCCCGAGUGGGGCCGCGGGCGGUAGCGGCCCCGGGCUCCCGGCCGCUGCCUGGGAGCCAAAGGGUCAGAUUUAGUUUCACAACAAAGUCUCUUCGUCACAGCAACCCGACUGGAGGCCAAAGCGGCCGGGCACCGGGGCAGGGGCCGGAGCGCCGCCGGCGUGGCCGAAGGAGGAUGAAGAUCCAGCCCACUAGCUUAGAUCGAGAUUUGCUUCAGAGCAUCAGUGGGAGAAGACCGGACCAUAUGGGAACAGCCAAGAGUCAAGCCAACUCUUCAGCUGCACAUAUCCAAUAAAAGUGGAAGAGGGAAGAUAAUGGCCUGAAUAGUGACGUGUCUACGGACAUAAAUGUACAAGCAGCUCGCCAGCGGGGAUUUUUGCGGAAGAACCUCAAAGAGGGAUGCCGUUCCCCGGGCUGUUUCUAAAUAGAUGUAGAUUAUUUCCCCAAAGAUUAUGAACAGUUCUUUUGUCCAAAUCCAAGAUGCGAUAAUGCAUAGGCUUCCUAAAACGGGACUUUCAAAUUUCAUUUAUUUAGAGAUGUUUGAAGCCUUCAAGAAUUAGAGAAGUAAAGAUGAAAAGACAUCGUUUUAUGAUGUUUUGGGUAGCUAAACAGGUAGGCAGAUAUGCGAAAAUGCGAUUUACUUCUGGAAGCUGUUUUUGCUUCAGAAUGUACCUUCUAUUUGCUAAAAGUUUGUAUUAUCGUAAAUAAAAUCAAAAGACACACUGUCAAUGUGGAUGCAUCAUCUGACAAGUAAAAUCGAACACAAAUUUUCUUCGGAAAGGGAUGAUAAAUCAGAGUGCUACCACUGAUAGUCAAGUCACGAUUUAAGAAAAAAUAUUCCUUCGGUAAGAAUGUUCAGUUUUGUUUUUCUUUUCUAACAUGUCUUGAGUUAAACAAAACAUGUUAACAAGAUUGUAACGAAAACUCUUCAUGAUGUAAACAUCCAAAGAAAGAAAUUCUAGAUUGAUUAUCUUCUGGGACCGCAAAGAUUUUAUUACUAGAUAUCACUGAAGUAGUGGAACCAGAGGCCGAAAGCCUUAGGACUCUAACUGGGUGGUGAGGAGAUUUUAGAGGACUAUCUCCCAAUUUAAAAGAAGAAAAAAAAAAACUUCAUAAAAUGUAAAUGCAAUAAGUCGACCGGAAUUUUAUUUUUCCAAGAUUAAAACAUGCAUUUAGUCGGCUUGGAAGGCCCAUUGCCAAUUCAUGAAUCUAUCGGAAUAAAACACAAGAGCAAGUGCCAAAUACCUGUGGUUUAUGUAAACUACAUAAAAUCACGGGGUUUUUACAUUUAGAUGUAUAAUAGACGGAUAUAAAACGAUAGAUAAAAAUCAGUUGUUAUGGCUUGUCGUGGAUUUCCAUGUGCUUAU
rnacentral:lncRNA from 1 species